rnacentral:misc_RNA from 1 species
AAAUAAUUCGUGUUUUAGAAGCUACUUCUGGUGAUACAUUUUUCUUAAGCCAAUCACGAAUUGCUGCAUGCACUUCCUGUGCUUGCUCGGGUGUAGCCACUUUGCCAGUCCCAAUGGCCCAUACUGGCUCAUAUGCAAUAACGAUACCAUCCCAACUCGGAACAGCAUCUGCAUAAGCUUUCAAUUGUUGAAAGCAAACAUCAAAAGUUUUCCCAGCUUCCCUUUCCUCUAGUAAUUCCCCGAUGCAAGCUAUUACUCCAAGACCCUCGCUCAAGGCAUAGGCAGCCUUCUUUCCUAUAAACUGGUCAUCUUCACCAAUGAUAUGUCUCCGUUCAGAGUGCCCGAGGAUGACCCAUUUGCAGCCUAUAUCUUUCAAUUGUUCAACACUGAUUUCUCCAGUAAAAGCGCCACCCUUGCUCACCCAUGAGUUUUGGGCAGAAAUCUCGAUCCUAGGUGCCAAUGAG